CGGACGGGUGAGUAAUGUCUGGGAAACUGCCUGAUGGAGGGGGAUAACUGCUGGAAACGGUAGCUAAUACCGCAUAACGUCGCAAGACCAAAGAGGGGGACCUUCGGGCCUCUUGCCGUCGGAUGUGCCCAGAUGGGAUUAGCUAGUAGGUGGGGUAACGGCUCACCUAGGCGACGAUCCCUAGCUGGUCUGAGAGGAUGACCAGCCACACUGGAACUGAGACACGGUCCAG
rnacentral:rRNA from 1 species